rnacentral:rRNA from 1 species
UACGUAGGCAGCGAGCGUUGUUCGGAGUUACUGGGCGUAGAGGGUGUGUAGGCGGUUCUUUAAGUUUGGUGUGAAAUCUCCCGGCUCAACCGGGAGGGUGCGCCGAAUACUGAGGGACUUGGAGUGCGGGAGAGGAAAGUGGAAUUCCUGGUGUAGCGGUGAAAUGCGUAGAUAUCAGGAGGAACACCGGUGGCGAAGGCGGGUCUCUGGGCCGAUACUGACGCUGAGGAGCGAAAGCGUGGGGAGCGAACAGG